GGUUAUUUAACUUUCAGGAAAGUAGAUGUUUUGAAAGCAUCCUAAAAGGGUUCGACUCCCUUAAUGGCCC
rnacentral:tRNA from 1 species